AUUGAACGCUGGCGGCAUGCUUUACACAUGCAAGUCGAACGGUAACAGGCCUUCGGGUGCUGACGAGUGGCGAACGGGUGGGUAAUGCAUCGGAACGUGCCCAGAGGUGGGGGAUAACGCAGCGAAAGCUGUGCUAAUACCGCAUGUGAUCUGAGGAUGAAAGCGGGGGACCAGGCAGCAAUGUUUGGCCUCGCGCCUUUGGAGCGGCCGAUGUCAGAUUAGGUAGUUGGUGGGGUAAAGGCCUACCAAGCCGACGAUCUGUAGCUGGUCUGAGAGGACGACCAGCCACACUGGGACUGAGACACGGCCCAGAGUCCUACGGGACGGAGCAGUGGGGAAUUGUGGACAAUAGGCGGAAGCCUGAUCCAGCAAUGCCGCGUGUGGGAAGGAGGCCUUCGGGUUGUGAAGCGCUUUUGUACGGAGCGAAAAGGCUCUGGCUAAUACCUAGGGCUGAUGACGGUACCGUAAGAAGAAGCACCGGCUAACUACGUG
rnacentral:rRNA from 1 species